rnacentral:lncRNA from 1 species
CUACAGUUCUUUGUUUGACUCCGGGACUCAGGGACGGGGAGGAGGAGGGAGGGAGGCAGAGGCUGCAAGCGCCGGGGCAGGCCUAGGAGGCAGAGGAGGGACCGUCUCCCCCGCCCCCCAGCCCCACUCCCCCCCUGCUGCUUCCCCCCUCCCUACCCGGACUCUGGGGGCACCGCCGGGGGACAGACACCCAGCAGGUUCCCCCAGGCACCAUGCCAGCCCCAUAGCACUACCCACUCCACGACUUCUGCUGCACCCCACUGCUGGGGUGAUUGUUCCAAUGUGACUGAACACUUCAAACUCCAUCUGGCUGUUACUGAGGCGGAGACAAGGGUGAUGAUUGGCUUUCUGGGGAGAGAGACGUCUUGUGAUUGGUUGAAUCUCUGAAGCUUUUGAAGCUGUGAGAGGAGGCUCCCACGGAGGCUGGAAUUGGUUGUGGAAGGCCAGAGGCUGCCACCUGGAAACAGUGUGCACUCUUGUUAAGAGCAAUUGGAGCUGGACCAUCGUGCCAGAGAGCUGGGGCAGGGGGGUGUGCCCCAUCUCCAGGGCUCCUGGGGCCACUGCUGACCUGGUAAGGAAAAGAUUGGGGCUGGUUUAGCUGAAUAUACAGCUGGAAGUUUUGUCUUCCUGUUACAGCAAGAUCUC